UACGUAGGGGGCAAGCGUUAUCCGGAUUUACUGGGUGUAAAGGGAGCGUAGACGGCAGUGCAAGUCUGGAGUGAAAGGCGGGGGCUCAACCCCCGGACUGCUCUGGAAACUGUACGGCUGGAGUGCAGGAGAGGUAAGUGGAAUUCCUAGUGUAGCGGUGAAAUGCGUAGAUAUUAGGAGGAACACCAGUGGCGAAGGCGGCUUACUGGACUGUAACUGACGUUGAGGCUCGAAAGCGUGGGGAGCGAACAGG
rnacentral:rRNA from 1 species